rnacentral:rRNA from 1 species
AGAGUUUGAUCCUGGCUCAGAGCGAACGCUGGCGGCGUGCUUAACACAUGCAAGUCGAGUGCGCGCCUGUAGCAAUACAGGUGGCGCACGGCGCACGGGUGCGUAACACGUGGGUAAUCUGCCCUUCGAUGGGGAAUAACCCCGGGAAACCGGGGCUAAUUCCGCAUAACAUUCCGAUAACUAACGUUGUUGGACUCAAAGCCGUAAGGCGUCGAAGGAGGAGCCCGCGCACGAUUAGCUAGUUGGUGAGGUAACGGCUCACCAAGGCUAUGAUCGUUAGCUGGUCUGAGAGGAUGGCCAGCCACACUGGAACUGAGACACGGUCCAGACUCCUACGGGAGGCAGCAGUGGGGAAUCUUGCACAAUGGGCGAAAGCCUGACGCAGCUACGCCGCGUGGGGGAUGAAUCUUUUCGGAGUGUAAUCCGCUGGCGACCCUGA